UACGAAGGGGGCUAGCGUUGCUCGGAAUCACUGGGCGUAAAGCGCACGCAGGCGGUCUGCUAAGUUUGGAGUGACAGUUGGUGGCUUAACUGCCAAAGUGCUUCGAAAACUGACAGACUUGAGGGCUUCAGAGGGACACGGAAUUCCGGGUGGAGUGGUGGAAAUGCGUAGAGAUCCGGAGGAACACCAAAGGCGAAGGCAGUGUCCUGGGGAGUACCUGACGCUCAGGUGCGAAAGCCAGGGGAGCGAACGGG
rnacentral:rRNA from 1 species